GGGUGAGUAAUGCCUAGGAAAUUGCCCUGAUGUGGGGGAUAACCAUUGGAAACGAUGGCUAAUACCGCAUGAUGCCUACGGGCCAAAGAGGGGGACCUUCGGGCCUCUCGCGUCAGGAUAUGCCUAGGUGGGAUUAGCUAGUUGGUGAGGUAAGGGCUCACCAAGGCGACGAUCCCUAGCUGGUCUGAGAGGAUGAUCAGCCACACUGGAACUGAGACACGGUCCAGACUCCUACGGGAGGCAGCAGUGGGGAAUAUUGCACAAUGGGCGCAAGCCUGAUGCAGCCAUGCCGCGUGUGUGAAGAAGGCCUUCGGGUUGUAAAGCACUUUCAGUCGUGAGGAAGGUGGUGUAGUUAAUAGCUGCAUUAUUUGACGUUAGCGACAGAAGAAGCACCGGCUAACUCCGUGCCAGCAGCCGCGGUAAUACGGAGGGUGCGA
rnacentral:rRNA from 1 species